CCCUCGAGCAGCGUGGUGUUAACAUUCCCAAAAAAGCACCAUGGCAACCUCUCAGUGCUCCUGCCUGCAUGGUCAGCAAGCAGAAGUCUCCAAAGGGGAUCAGAGGAGGGUGACAAAAGCAAUGUGGACACUGCAGCUCCUUCCAAGGGCUCCCAACCCUCCAGGGAUGGGCUCUUCCCACACUGCAGUCAAUGAAUCUCUAAUCUCCUGGACUGAAAUGUCUGACACUUCCAGCAUCAUUUCCCUGCUGCCUCGGCUCGCAGAGCUCCACCUACAGCAGUGUCUCAGCAGUGGGCUGCUGGUGGAUCUGAGAGAAAUGUCUGGGUUUUUGGGGUGGGAGGGAUGGAUGGAGGGAUGAAGGAUGAGCAGGGGUUGUGCUGUGCUCUGUGUGCCUCUCACAGCACCCUUCCAGCCGGGAUCUGAGGGACGAGGAGUGGAUGAGCUCUGGCUGAAUAAAUUGAAUUUAUUCCACGGCUGCUCCUGCCCA
rnacentral:lncRNA from 1 species